rnacentral:rRNA from 1 species
AGCGAACGCUGGCGGCAGGCUUAACACAUGCAAGUCGAACGGGCGUAGCAAUACGUCAGUGGCAGACGGGUGAGUAACGCGUGGGAACGUACCUUUUGGUUCGGAACAACCCAGGGAAACGUUAGGGCUAAUACCGGAUAAGCCCUUACGGGGAAAGGAUUUAUCGCCGAAGAUCGGCCCGCGUCUGAUUAGCUAGUUGGUGAGGUAACGGCUCACCAAGGCGACGAUCAGUAGCUGGUCUGAGAGGANGAUCAGCCACAUUGGGACUGAGACACGGCCCAAACUCCUACGGGAGGCAGCAGUGGGGAAUAUUGGACAAUGGGCGCAAGCCUGAUCCAGCCAUGCCGCGUGAGUGAUGAAGGG